UACGGUAUAAAGAAAGCAAAUAAUACUAAUUUUAUCUAAUCAUUCUACACUUAGCUCACCCUUUUACUAAGUGUCAUCCUUUUGAAAGACCACAGUGAGGUGGAAAUCUUCAAGGAAUUUUAAAUCAAAAUUUCACCACUUUUGUUUGGGGGUAAAACACUGCAUUACGCAAUGAAAGAAAAAAAAAAGAUAAGCUCUGAGCAGAACUCAAUUCCUGCUUCAUGGUGAACAUGAGCAGGAUAAGAAAAAUGAGGAAAAUGUG